rnacentral:lncRNA from 1 species
GCUGAGGGGGCAACUGGGAGCACUGGGAGCAACUGGGGGGGCAACUGGGAGCGGCUGGGGGGCAACUGGGAGCACUGGGGGGCAACUGGUCCUUACUGGUCCUUACUGGUUGUUAGUAGGUCUUAUUGGUCCUUACUGGUUGUUAGUAGUUCUUAGUGGUCCUUACUGGUUCUUAUUGGUGUUACUGGUCCUUACUGGUCCUUACUGGUGUUACUGGUGUUACUGGUGCUACUGGUCCUUACUGGUGUUAUUGGUCCUUACUGGUGUUACUGGUGCUACUGGUCCUUACUGGUGCUACUGGUCCUUACUGGUCCUUACUGGUGUUGCCGGUGCCCGCUUGCAGCGCCGCCAGCAGCAGCCGCCACAACCCGGUGCAGCUGUGGGACGCCUACGACGGCCGCGUCAGGGGCAGCUUCCGGGCCCACAACCACCUGGUGAG